rnacentral:rRNA from 1 species
AGCGAACGCUGGCGGCGUGCUUAACACAUGCAAGUCGAACGUGAAAUGUAGCAAUACAGAGUAAAGUGGCGUACGGGUGAGUAACACGUGGGUAAUCUACCAAGGAGCCUGGAAUAACCGACCGAAAGGUUGGCUAAUACUGGAUAGUUCAAAUGAAAUAUAAUGUUUCGAUUGGGAAAGGGAGCGAGCAAUCGCCUUCACUUUUUGAUGAGCCCGCGUCUGAUUAGCUAGUUGGUAGGGUAAUGGCCUACCAAGGCGACGAUCAGUAGCUGGUCUGAGAGGAUGAUCAGCCACACUGGAACUGAAACACGGUCCAGACUCCUACGGGAGGCAGCAGUGGGGAAUCUUGCGCAAUGGACGAAAGCCUGACGCAGCCACGCCGCGUGAGUGAAGAAGGCCUUCGGGUUGUAAAGCUCUGUCGGAAGGGACAAAAACGUUUAAGGUUAAUAGCCUUAGAUCUUGAUGGUACCUUCAAAGGAAGCACCGGCUAACUUCGUGCCAGCAGCCGCAGUAA